CCUACGGGAGGCAGCAGUGAGGAAUAUUGGUCAAUGGGCGCGAGCCUGAACCAGCCAAGUAGCGUGAAGGAAGACUGUCCUAUGGAUUGUAAACCUCUUUUAUCUGGGAGUAAAAUGCACCACGCGUAGCGUUCCGAGAGUACCUGAAGAAAAAGGAUCGGCUAACUCCGUGCCAGCAGCCGCGGUAAUACGGAGGAUGCGAGCGUUAUCCGGAUUUAUUGGGUUUAAAGGGUGCGUAGGUGGGUUGUUAAGUCAGUUGUGAAAGUUUGCGGCUCAACCGUAAAAUUGCAGUUGAUACUGGCAGUCUUGAGUACAGUAGAGGUGGGCGGAAUUCGUGGUGUAGCGGUGAAAUGCUUAGAUAUCACGAAGAACUCCGAUUGCGAAGGCAGCUUGCUGGACUGCAACUGACACUGAGGCUCGAAAGUGUGGGUAUCAAACAGGAUUAGAUACCCCAGUAGUC
rnacentral:rRNA from 1 species